rnacentral:lncRNA from 1 species
UUAAAAAAAAGAAAAGAUGAAAAUUUGAAAUAAAAUAAAAUAAAAAUAAUUAUUAGGGAACUCGAAAGAAUGAGAAGUCAACGGAUAUUGAAAAUAAAGACAAAUCCAAAAGUUGAAUCAUCGAUAAUAGUUGAUCCUAAAGAACGAGUGCAAGAAAGAAUUUCAGCACUAAUCCAUCAGAAUGAGCAUAGUGAAGAUAACAAUCGUAUUGACUCUAAACCUUUUCCAAAAUU